GACGGAGGAGGCUAGCGUUAUCCGGAAUUAUUGGGCGUAAAGGGUACGUAGGCGGCUGGUCAAGUCCGGGGUCAAAGGCCACAGCUCAACUGUGGGAAGGCCCUGGAAACUGACCGGCUAGAGUGAGGUAGGGGUUGCGGGAAUUCCCGGUGUAGCGGUGAAAUGCGUAGAGAUCGGGAAGAACACCUGAGGCGGAAGCGCGCAACUGGGCGUCAACUGACGCUGAGGUACGAAAGCUAGGGGAGCGAAUGGG
rnacentral:rRNA from 1 species